rnacentral:rRNA from 1 species
GACGAACGCUGGCGGCGUGCUUAACACAUGCAAGUCGAACGGUGAAGCGCCUUCCUUUUUGGUGGGUGUGGAUGAGUGGCGAACGGGUGAGUAACACGUGAGUAACCUGCCCCCUUCUUCUGGAUAACCGCAUGAAAGUGUGGCUAAUACGGGAUAUUCUGGGUCUGUCGCAUGAUGGGUCUGGGAAAGAUAUUGUUUCGGUGGGGGAUGGGCUCGCGGCCUAUCAGCUUGUUGGUGGGGUGAUGGCCUACCAAGGCGGUGACGGGUAGCCGGCCUGAGAGGGUGGACGGUCACACUGGGACUGAGACACGGCCCAGACUCCUACGGGAGGCAGCAGUGGGGAAUAUUGCACGAUGGGCGCAAGCCUGAUGCAGCGACGCCGCGUGAGGGAUGGAGGCCUGCGGGUUGUGAACCUCUUUCGCCAGUGAAGCAGGCCUGCCUCGUUUGUGGGUGGGUUGACGGUAGCUGGAGAAGAAGCGCCGGCUAACUACGUG